rnacentral:rRNA from 1 species
UACGAAGGGGGCUAGCGUUGCUCGGAAUCACUGGGCGUAAAGCGCACGUAGGCGGCUUCUUAAGUCAGGGGUGAAAUCCUGGAGCUCAACUCCAGAACUGCCCUUGAUACUGAGGAGCUUGAGUCCGGGAGAGGUGAGUGGGAACUGCGAGUGUAGAGGUGAAAUUCGUAGAUAUUCGCAAGAACACCAGUGGCGAAGGCGGCUCACUGGCCCGGUACUGACGCUGAGGCACGAAAGCGUGGGGAGCAAACAGG